UGCGGAGACGGAGCAGUGAAACUUCCGCGAACCGACGGAAUGGUUCGUUAAAGAGUGUAGGUGUUGAUUCUGGUAGGCAAAUCCGCCAGGAGAGCCGAACUUGAAAGUACAGGGUCCUCUUCGGAGGAACUUGACAGUGAGGGUAAGCAUACUCCCGAGAAAAUCCGCUAAGCAAUGUCCAUGGUACCCGUACCGUAAACGGACACACGUA
rnacentral:rRNA from 1 species